ACGGCUCAGUAACACGUGGGUGAUCUGCCCUGCACUUCGGGAUAAGCCUGGGAAACUGGGUCUAAUACCGGAUAGGACCAUCGUUUAGUGUCGGUGGUGGAAAGUUUUUCGGUGCAGGAUGAGCUCGCGGCCUAUCAGCUUGUUGGUGGGGUAAUGGCCUACCAAGGCGUCGACGGGUAGCCGGCCUGAGAGGGUGGACGGCCACAUUGGGACUGAGACACGGCCCAGACUCCUACGGGAGGCAGCAGUGGGGAAUAUUGCACAAUGGGCGCAAGCCUGAUGCAGCGACGCCGCGUGGGGGAUGAAGGCCUUCGGGUUGUAAACUCCUUUCAACCAUGACGAAGCAUUAUGUGACGGUAGUGGUAGAAGAAGCACCGGCUAACUACGUGCCAGCAGCCGCGGUAAUACGAU
rnacentral:rRNA from 1 species